AUGGAAAUGAUGAUACUUUCCUCAUAUGAUCGACGCUGAUUCAAACAGUGCUAUCUUUUCCCUCUGGGAGUUCCAAGCCAGGUUUCUGAUCCUU
rfam:Amborella trichopoda AMTR_V1.0_contig_27300, whole genome shotgun sequence.